rnacentral:hammerhead_ribozyme from 1 species
AUCCAUUUGAAGAGUCCCAAAUAAGACGAAACGAGAGUCCUGGAU